GGCUAGGUAGCUCAAUCGGUAGAGCAGAGGACUGAAAAUCCUCGUGCUGGUGGUUCGAUUCCAUCCCUAGCCACGA
rnacentral:tRNA from 1 species